GCCUACGGGGGGCAGCAGUGGGGAAUAUUGCACAAUGGGGGAAACCCUGAUGCAGCAACGCCGCGUGGGUGAAGGAGCGUUUCGGCGCGUAAAGCCCUGUCAGCGGGGAAGAAGAAAGACGGUACCCGACCAAGAAGCCCCGGCUAACUACGUGCCAGCAGCCGCGGUAAUACGUAGGGGGCGAGCGUUAUCCGGAAUUACUGGGUGUAAAGGGAGUGUAGACGGCAGCGCAAGUCUGGAGUGAAAUGCCGGGGCCCAACCCCGGAACUGCUUUGGAAACUGUGCAGCUCGAGUGCAGGAGAGGG
rnacentral:rRNA from 1 species